rnacentral:rRNA from 1 species
GUCGAGCGGCAGCACGGGUACUUGUACCUGGUGGCGAGCGGCGGACGGGUGAGUAAUGCCUAGGAAUCUGCCUGGUAGUGGGGGAUAACGCUCGGAAACGGACGCUAAUACCGCAUACGUCCUACGGGAGAAAGCAGGGGACCUUCGGGCCUUGCGCUAUCAGAUGAGCCUAGGUCGGAUUAGCUAGUUGGUGAGGUAAUGGCUCACCAAGGCGACGAUCCGUAACUGGUCUGAGAGGAUGAUCAGUCACACUGGAACUGAGACACGGUCCAGACUCCUACGGGAGGCAGCAGUGGGGAAUAUUGGACAAUGGGCGAAAGCCUGAUCCAGCCAUGCCGCGUGUGUGAAGAAGGUCUUCGGAUUGUAAAGCACUUUAAGUUGGGAGGAAGGGCAGUUACCUAAUACGUAUCUGUUUUGACGUUACCGACCGAAUAAGCACCGGCUAACUCUGGGCAGCAGCCUGCGGGUAUACAGAGGGUGCAAGCGUUAAUCGGAAUUACUGGCCGUAAAGCGGCCGUAGGUGGUUUGUUAACUUGAAUGUGAAUCUCUGGGUUUUAACCUGGGAACUGCAUCCAAACGGGCACGCUUAGUAUGGUAGAGGGGGGUGAAA